rnacentral:rRNA from 1 species
UACGGAGGGGGCUAGCGUUGUUCGGAAUUACUGGGCGUAAAGCGCACGUAGGCGGACGAGAAAGUCAGAGGUGAAAUCCCAGGGCUCAACCCUGGAACUGCCUUUGAAACUCCUUGUCUUGAGGUCGAGAGAGGUGAGUGGAAUUCCGAGUGUAGAGGUGAAAUUCGUAGAUAUUCGGAGGAACACCAGUGGCGAAGGCGGCUCACUGGCUCGAUACUGACGCUGAGGUGCGAAAGCGUGGGGAGCAAACAGG